AUCUACAGCCAUACCACCCAGAACAUGCCCAGUCUUGUCUGAUCUUGGAAACUAAGCAGGUUAGGGCCUAGUUAGUACUCGGAUUGGAGACUGCCUGGGAAUGCUGGGUGCUGUAGGCU
rnacentral:rRNA from 1 species